UACAGAGGGGGCAAGCGUUGUUCGGAAUUACUGGGCGUAAAGGGCGCGUAGGCGGCCUUCUAAGUCGAACGUGAAAUCCCCGGGCUCAACCCGGGGAACUGCGUCCGAUACUGGAAGGCUUGAAUCCGGGAGAGGGAUGCGGAAUUCCAGGUGUAGCGGUGAAAUGCGUAGAUAUCUGGAGGAACACCGGUGGCGAAGGCGGCAUCCUGGACCGAGAUUGACGCUGAGGCGCGAAAGCGCGGGGAGCAACAGG
rnacentral:rRNA from 1 species